UUUCCGUAGGUGAACCUGCGGAAGGAUCAUUAUCAAAAGUCAAGUCGGGGGCUGUAAAGCUCUCGUCUACACCCAUGUCUUUUGCGUACUCUUGUUUCCUCGGUGGCGCAAGCUGCCGAUUGGACAAACCAAAACCUUUUUUGUAAUUGCAAUCAGCGUCUGAAAAUAAUCUAAUUAUUUACAACUUUCAACAACGGAUCUCUUGGUUCUGGCAUCGAUGAAGAACGCAGCGAAAUGCGAUAAGUAGUGUGAAUUGCAGAAUUCAGUGAAUCAUCGAAUCUUUGAACGCACAUUGCGCCCCUUGGUAUUCCAUGGGGCAUGCCUGUUCGAGCGUCAUUUGUACCCUCAAGCUUUGCUUGGUGUUGGGCGUCUUGUCGUAUUACGACUCGCCUUGAAUUCAUUGGCAGCCGGCACUUUGGCCUAGGAGCGCAGCACAUUUUGCGAUCGUAGCCCGUUGUACUGGCGUCCAUCAAGAACAUUUACCACGUUUGACCUCGGAUCA
rnacentral:rRNA from 1 species